rnacentral:tRNA from 1 species
AACUAUUUAGUUUAUUACCUAAAACUUAUGUUUUGAAAACAUUUAAAAAGAAAAGACUUCUUAAUAGUUA